CAAGGGAAAGACAGUAAAACACACACAGCCUGGAGGCUGCACUCAGGCAAGAGAAAGAGGGUUCAUCAUUUGGGUCACCAGUUACCUGGCCAGCAUCACCACCUUGCUGUGGAGAAAGGUGAACAUCUGUGUCUCCACCAUGCAGAACCUUCUUCUAUCAAGAACAGGAAAGUUCUU